GGAGUUAUGUGGUUUAAUUCGAUGCAACGCGAAGAACCUUACCUGGCCUUGACAUCCCGGGAAUUUCCUGGAAACAGGAGAGUGCUUUCAUUAGAGAGAACCUGGAGACAGGUGCUGCAUGGCUGUCGUCAGCUCGUGUCGUGAGAUGUUGGGUUAAGUCCCGCAACGAGCGCAACCCUUGCCUUUAGUUGCCAGCAGUUCGGCUGGGCACUCUAAAGGGACUGCCGAUGUCAAACCGGAGGAAGGUGGGAUGACGUCAAGUCCUCAUGGCCUUUAUGGCCAGGGCUACACACGUACUACAAUGGCCGGUACAAAGGGCAGCGACAUUGCGAGAUGGAGCGAAUCCCGAAAAGCCGGUCUCAGUCCGGAUUGGAGUCUGCAACUCGACUCCAUGAAGUUGGAAUCGCUAGUAAUCGCAGAUCAGCACGCUGCGGUGAAUACGUUCCCGGGCCUU
rnacentral:rRNA from 1 species